rnacentral:lncRNA from 1 species
GAUAAUGUUAGCCAACGAGCUAACUGGUAACUUCAAACACAUCCUUUUGUUGACCCAACAAAAGUGCUGGAAAAGGACGAGAUGUCUUCGGCCAUACAUAUCGCUGGAGUUCAGAAAUUCCGAUUCCACAUGCUGAGUCAGGCAAACUCGAACUGACGUAAACCUGACAAGAGCAGACGUGUGGAACACAUCAAACCAACUAGUCUGACAGAUGCCAAAGUCCCUUUAAGUGUGUUGUGUCUGUUUGUGUGUGUGUGACAGCACUGGAGCCGAAGAGUGUGGAGAGGGUGAGAACAACAGACCUGCAGGAGAGACGGAGCACAUGGAGAGAGCGGAGUUCGAUGAACAACAGAAGAAGGGGAAGGAGCGAGACAGGACCCCGGUAAGGUUGCGGAAGUUUCCCUCCAUCCUCCCCACCACUACCUCCACCAGGUCGGCCAGGGGAGAGGAUCUGCCAGCUCAUCCAGACUUCUGCACUAUAGAUGGGGCUUACGCCAAAGGACUUUAUAAAGGACCGUAUUGAACUUACAUUUAUGUAAACAAUUUACAAUAAAUGUUAAAAUGUU